GCGAGGCCUUGGAUUCCAAGGCGACGCCGCGGUGAGGGGACGAAGCCCUUUCGGGGGUGUAAACCUCUGUUGUGAGGGACGAAUAAGAUCUGGAGGAAAUGCCAGAUCGAUGACGGUACCUCACGAGAAAGCCCGGGCUAACUACGUGCCAGCAGCCGCGGUAAUACGUAGGGGGCGAGCGUUACCCGGAUUCACUGGGCGUAAAGGGGGCGCAGGCGAUCCAGUAUGUCGGGUGUGAAAUCCCACAGCUCAACUGUGGAAUUGCGCCCGAAACUACUGGGUUUGGGGCUGGUAGAGGGAGACGGAGCUGCUGGUGUAAGGGUGAAAUCCGUAGAUAUCAGCAGGAACGCCGGUGGGGAAGCCGGUCUCCUGGGCCAAGCCCGACGCUGAGGCCCGAAAGCUAGGGGAGCAAACCGGAUUAGAUACCCGGGUAGUCCUAGCCGUAAACGAUGCCCACUAGGUGUGGGGGAGUCAUUCCUCCGUGCUGUAGCUAACGCGUUAAGUGGGCCGCCUGGGGAGUACGCCCGCAAGGGUGAAACUCAAAGGAAUUGGCGGGACCCCGCACAAGCGGUGGAGCGUGUGGUUUAAUUGGAUGCUAAGCCAAGAACCUUACCAGGGCUUGACAUGCAGGUGGUACCAACCCGAAAGGGAAGGGACCCUUUCCUUUUGGAAAGGGAGCCUGCACAGGUGGUGCACGGCCGUCGUCAGCUCGUGCCGUGAGGUGUUGGGUUAAGUCCCGCAACGAGCGCAACCCCUGCCCUUAGUUGCCAGCGGUUCGGCCGGGCACUCUAAGGGGACCGCCGGCGACGAGCCGGAGGAAGGAGGGGACGACGUCAGGUACUCGUGCCCUUUAUGCCCUGGGCUACACACGCGCUACAAUGGGUGGUACAGUGGGUCGCGACCUCGCGAGAGGGAGCCAAUCCCCAAAACCAUCCUCAGUUCAGAUCGCAGGCUGCAACCCGCCUGCGUGAAGCCGGAAUCGCUAGUAAUCGCGGAUCAGCCAUGCCGCGGUGAAUACGUUCCCGGGGUU
rnacentral:rRNA from 1 species